rnacentral:lncRNA from 1 species
AGGUUACGCAACUGGUAUACUGGUCUGUUUGUAUACUGGUCUGUUUGUGUACUGGUUUGAGACAGCGACCACAAACGCUAUGACACUCCGGACGUCACCGACACCGGACGUCCUUUGUCCAACCUGUACACGUUGGACAAAGGAAGAUUGCUCAAAGGCACUCUGUCAGUACAUACCCAUCACCUUGAAACCUGCCCCAUUCUGGGAACAAGCAUGGGGAUCACAUACCGCUAGAUUAUUUCAAACCACACAGUGGGAUGUAAAAACUAAAAUGCCAUGUUGUCACCUCAUCAUUCAUUUUGCAUCAUGGCAACCAUGAGUUAUUCCUUCCUUCGUUCCACAUUCAGGACCGAAAGCCGUGCAUCCAUGAAUAUGACGACCUCUGACCUACUGAACUCGUCCGUGUUGCCGGGCGACCGAGGGCUCCGACCGUUUAGCCGCUUCUGGCGUGUAGGGACCCAGCCUGCCACCCUCGUCCCCAUGGAAACCAUUUAGUCCAGACAUAACAGUCUUGGCCGGCCAGGGAGUUCCUUUAAUUAGCCAUCAAACUCUCCAUCCUCCACACACACACACACACACACACACACACACACACACACACACACACACACACACACACACACACACACACACACACACACACACACACACACACACACACACACACACUACAGUGUUCCGGACUCACCGUGGGAUCACCGUGACGACCCUUUCACACCUUGGAUAUGCCAGAGAUGUGGCCAUGGAAGGGGAGCAUGCAGACCACUACUACCCCUGAAGGCAUUCAUAAAUUAACAACACCUGCAUCUACCAAGCCCUAACUAUCAUGUCAUCGUAACAGAAUAAAGAGGGUGAAUCAGCCCCUCAACUCACAGAAAGAGCGAGGUAUGCAUAAGAUGAUAGCAUAAGCGGCCUUCGGAUAAAGCGGCUUUUUUCCGAUCUGUUACUUAUCAUCGGUCCACCUCAAUGCUGGCGUAAUGGUGUCGUCCCGUCUGAAGAGGGAAUUAAAAAAGAGCAAAGCAGGAAGCAGAACAGGCCGGAGUAGAGCUGUCAGAGGAGAAAGACAAAUGAUAAACACGAGCGCGCGCGCGCACGCGCACGCACGCACGCACGCACGCACGCACGCACGCACGCACGCACGCACGCACGCACGCACGCACGCACGCACGCACGCACGCACGCACGCACGCACGCACGCACGCACGCACGCACACACACACACACACACACACACACACACACACACACACACACACACACACACACACACACACACACACACACACACACACACACACACACACACAGGGGGGCAAAAGCAGAGGGAAGAAAACUGUAGUGAAGGUCAGAGGAAAGAGAUCAGGAGACAUGGAAUGUGA